CUUAGAUGAAGAGCACCUUGCCCUAUUGUGUCCCCAAAUGCCCCCAAUCCCCAUUGCCCUAGGACCUCAUUCCCCCGAAUCCCUAAUUCCCUUUAGGUCCCACCACGUAAUCGGCGGAUGGAUGAUGGAUGUUGGAUCCAGUCGACUGACGCCCGUCACCUUCACGGCUUCAGUGGGCAUAACAUACCAGGAAUUGACAACAUCCCAAUUUGACUCAUCACUGAACCUUUACUGAUCGGAUUGAAAAGUUUCUUCUCAGCGUAAGACUGAAGUCCUUGCGAGAGGGAAAUGAGGAACGUUAAAAGGGCUUCCUUCCUUUUUAUAAAAUCUACUUGUUUGACUGACGAUUGUUAUCUUGAGACGGUUCUGUCUGUCCCCUGAGAUGGCAUCAUCGACUUCAGCGAAAUGAAAAUAUCUACAUUUACGAAUUAGUAAUUUGGCAAAAGGAUAGCUCAUUGCUGAUAAAUUUACCUAAUGGGAACAUUUACUUGUUAUGAGAAAUGCUUCAAAAUAUUGCAAACACAUUGAUUUGUCAGGAAAAUGUCUAUUUUUUCAGUACACCACAACCUGCUACAUAUUCCCAUUAAACUGUACAGCGCGAUUCUAGUAUAAUUGGAUUUAAAGUAGUCCUGUGCAACGAUUUUUCUCUGUGGGCGCUAAUCAAAAGCCCAUAUAUGAGCGAAUUCCAUAAACAUUAAUAUUGGCUACUUGAUGUAUGAUUUGGUGGCAAGAUGCUUAGAGAUCCAGAAAAACUUGUUCCAGAAACACUGCUCGCGAAAUAAAGCAGUUGUGUACAAAGCCUUCGAAAAAUUCUGAAAGUUCUGUGUUGUAUUAUAUAUUUCAGCUGAGUGCUUCGAAUAUGUUUCCCUAAUGGACAAUUAUUCAUAGUGAUGAUCUGUGCUGAAGACUGCAGUUCUUCCUCUGUGAUUAUUCUAGGAAGAUCUUUAGAAUGACAGAAAUAGAAAAAGUACUUUUUUCACUAAAAAUGAUUGGAUCUUUCCUAGAUAGUGACCCCUGAAGGGUUUUAACUCGGUAUGUAUCCACCUUUGCGGCGUGUUUAGUACAAGCCCGUUGGGGAUGACCGUAAAAACAUGAACAAAAGACUGUAAAUGACCCAAAAGAAUAUUGGUCUCAGAUAAUGACCCCAGAACUUUGCUGGGGGUCACGAUCAAAGAAAGAUCCAAAUGAUUUUCAAGGACAGUUUUGUACUACUCUGUUACCAACUUGAGUGAUGGUUUGAAAAGAACUAUGUUGAUAUACAAUCGUAUCAUUUAGACGUAAAGAAAAUAAUUUUGUAAUAGAAUUUCGGUUACAAAUUCCAUAUCAAUGAGGCUGUGAUAGAUUAAAAGACUUCUUUUGCCAUCCUGUGUAUAGUACAAUUACUGCACUCUCCUGAAUGAUUACAUGUAAGCAAUAAUUUUACCCAUAUAAUAUAUUCCGAGCCACCCAUUUACGUACGUAUAUUUAAAUUUGCUAUUUUCUCUAUUAAAUCUUUGGUUAGGCAUUUUGAAUCAUAAUGCAAACACUGACAAUAAUGAACAGCAAACACAUUUUAAGAAAUCAAUGCUAAUGCGAAACAGCCAAAAUGUCAUGGGUAUUUUAUUCAAGUUUGCUUAUAUUUUCUCUGUUUUAUAUUUUGUGAUGUUUUAUUUAAUUACAAUGCAAGUAUCUAUAAUAAUGAACAGCAAAAAUAAAAAAAACUAUUUAAAAAAAUCAAUGCUAGAAACCAAAAUAUUAUAGAUAUUUAUGGAAGUCUGGACAUUACCGGCAUUUCAAAGCCCAUUUAGAUUCCUCGCAGAAAACUCAGCAAUACUUGCAUUUUUAUUAUUUCUGUUCGGUUAAAAACUCAUACCAGCAAUACGAAUAUAAAUCGCCGUAAUCUUCUCCAUGAAUUUCACGAUUUAUACAGCAUUCGAUGACAACCAAAAAUGCAACGUCAAUUUGGCGGUUUGAUCAAUCACUCAUCAUUGCUUGUGAAAGGUGCCCAUAAUGCAAUACUUGGUCAGUAAUGACCAAAUAUUGCAUUAUGGGAACCUUUCGAAAGCAGUGAUGACUGAUCGAUCUAAUUGCCAAACUGACGUUGCAUUUUUUGUGGCCACCGAAUCCUGUACAAAUCGUGCAAUUCAUGAAGAAGACUAUGGCGACUAAUAUUCGUGUUACUGGUACGAGUUUUUUUUUUCAGAACAGAAAAAAUGAAAAUACAUACAUUGCUUACUUAUCUGCGAAGAAUCUAAAUAGUCUCUGAAAUACCGUUAAUGUGCAGUCUUUCGUAAUGACAUUUUGGAUGGUUCGUUUCUGGCACUGAUUUUCAAUAUAUAUGUUUGCUGUUUAUUAUCAUGAAUCCCUACAAUAUACUUCAAAAUGCAAAACAAAAGAAUAAUACAGAACAUAAUAACAAACGUACUGCCUUUGACGUUAGGGCUUCAUUUAUCAUUCUUUUACGGAAUAUCUUGAAAAACCUUUCUCUGAAAAUUUUGCUAAACCAUGAAGUUAGGGUGGCAUUGAAAAAAGUGAUUACUUACAUGUAAAAAAUAUUUUUUAAAUAAUUAUCCUUUUGCAAAUAUCUGUUCUUUUAAAGCAUCCAUAUUUUGAAAGCACCUACUUUUUGAAAUCAAGUACAUGUGUUCGUCAUUAAUGAUAAAAAAGUAUGUCUAUCAUAAAUGUUUUUUUUACUUUUUUUUGAGUGUGUAAAGUUUUAAACUAAACUGAUUGACAUCAAAGAAAUGUUGGCUUUGAUGUACAUGACAAAUCUUGAAGAAAGUAUUGUUUUCAAACCAACAUGUUAAUGUAAUUUUUUUUCUGAUUUCGCUCAUAUAUGUAGAUGUUUGUAGAGAAGCCGACUGGCCUACUUCCCGAAUUAUCGCCUUGCAAUGUGCAUUAUCAUGUGCUUUUAUAUUUCAUUACUGUCUUGUAAUCUUGCUCUUUCCCUAAGUUGCUAAGGCAGGAUACACAAUUAUACGUAAAUGUAGUGAUAUGACUUAGCCAAUGCUGCCUUUGAAUACGAGAAAAUCAUCAGAUAGUAGGAGAGUGGGGGGAGGGGGUUAGGAGAGGUUGCGUGGAUGGGCGCGGAAGUGUUUUUAUGAAGCGAUGAUUCUUCUAAAGUGUACCAAACUGUAAAGAAUAAAACUCUUUUGAUCUGUUCAUUGAUCAUUUUUUCGGAAUAAUCUUGAUUUGUAUCUUGUGAGGGAAAAACUAAACCUUUUUAAUUUCUUAAUGACAAGAUGUCUCGUCUUCCAUCUAAGUAUAAACAAUCAUGACAUUUUAUUUACAUUAUUUUGAAAAAAUAAUCUUGAGUAUUUUCGACGCAAAUUAUUUUGAUCUUUUCGCUCGCUUUGUAUGUAAAAAAAAGCUUAUCUGGUCAAGUUUAAUUUGUGAACGAAAAGCAACAAGCAUUCAGUAGUGUCCUUUCUAAAUAGAACAGUUUAUCGCUAUGAACCCGACCAGGAAAAAACCGAAGAGCGAAUAUUACAGCAUCUUGCAAGCACGGUACUUCUGCCGUUCCUGAGCCGCCUAGCAUCUCCGAGACAAUAUCUCUCUAAUCAUGGAAAAGAAGAAGAAGAACCUAAACCAUCCUAAGAGCAUUGUUUUACCUAACCUCCCCUUUGUUCGCUCACCACUGGACCUGAAAGAAUGGGCAGAAAAUGAAUCUUUUAACGGACGCAUAGCUUUUGUACAACUCUCUCGUAUCAUUAUCAGAUGUAAUGGUGAUCCGCUGCAUAGGUUUGAAUUGGUUGUAGAAUUUUGUUAGUUUCUCUUGUCUGCUUUUGUAAUAAAUAAAAAAUGUUU